rnacentral:rRNA from 1 species
UACGGAGGGUGCAAGCGUUUAUCCGGAUUCACUGGGUUUAAAGGGUGCGUAGGCGGGCAGGUAAGUCAGUGGUGAAAUCUUCGAGCUUAACUCGGAAACUGCCGUUGAUACUAUCUGUCUUGAAUAACGUUGAGGUGAGCGGAAUAUGUCAUGUAGCGGUGAAAUGCUUAGAUAUGACAUAGAACACCGAUUGCGAAGGCAGCUCACUAAACGCUCAUUGACGCUGAGGCACGAAAGCGUGGGGAUCAAACAGG